rnacentral:lncRNA from 1 species
UAUUAAUGAUAAUAAUAAUAUUAAUAAUAAUAAUAAUAAAAAUAAUAAUUUGUUUAACAAUCAUCUUUUCAACAUUUUAUCAAAGUAUCAAAAUAAUGGCAUACAUAAACCAAAAAACACACUAAUAGGGAAACAAAAUUUUGUAGAUAAUAAAAAAAUGGGCGAAGAAAAUAAAAAACAAUUAGCUAAUAAAAGAAAUGAGCAAAAUGAUUUAAAUUUAAUUAGUAAUAAGCAUUUUAAUAAUGUGCUACGACCAGAUGGUGGAAAUAAAAGCAUACCUGAAAUAUUCGCCCAUAUUAACACCAAUUUUUCAACUCAGAAAAAUAGCAUAAAUGGAAAUAUAAAUUCUUCAAAUAUAUUUAAUGAAUUCAUGUUAAAUUUAAAUGCAAAUAUGCAAAAAAGUGUACCACCGCCUAACCCCAAUUUAGCUAAUAAUAUGUUUUAUAAUUUAAACAUAUUUAAAAAUGCCUUAAAAAAUGACCCGAAUAAUAUGUAUAACAACAUGAACAAGACUAUUUCUGUUUCAGAAACUUCUACUCCUACAAAUAAUACUACCACUCCUACUUCCAUUUUUUCUUCCACUACAGUUACUACACCUACUAGUAGUACUAAUUGCAAUAACAUUAGUGACAGCAAAACAAGUGAUAACCUAAAUGUAAAUCAUACUGAAGAUAUGACAAAAAGUAUGAAUAACCAAUCGAUUAGUAUUAAUGAUAGUGAUAUGAAAAAUGACAAUAAUAAAAAUUAUGAAAACAUAAAAAAAGGUCAUUCAUUUAGUAAUAACAAAAUAAUAGAAAAUUUAAUCCAACAUAUUAAUAGCACCAACAAUGGUAGUAUGAAUAACCAAGACUCUUUAAAUGGCAAGGAAUUAAAAACUAUACAUUUUAAAGAUAAUAACACUAACGUUAAUAAUACUCAGUUUAGUACUGACAAUGAAAAUAACAUAAAUAAUGCUCAUAUAAAUGAACAACAACGUUUAUAUAGAGCAUUAUACUCUGAGCAAUUAAAAUCAUUAAACCUUAUGGGUUUUAGCGAUACACAAAAAUGUAUAAAAGCCCUUAUUGAUACUAACGGUAAUAUAGAUCAAGCUCUUGAUUUAUUAUUAAACGAUAUGAAUUUAAAUGAACAAUAAAAACGUGNNNNNNNNNNNNNNNN